UGCGGUUAGACAAAUAACACUAUUAUUUUAUUUCGGUUAUACUUAAUUAAUAAAAGUGAGUUUUUAUUUUAGUGAAAUAUUGGGUGGAAUCCUAUUUUUUAUGUAAUUUAAUUUUUGAUUAUGAAUAUUAAGAAAUCUGGAUAAUAAACUGGGAUUAGAUACCCCAUUAUUCUAGAUGUAGAUAAUUAGACCUGACAAAUAUAAGUUAUGCUCUUUAAAAUCAAAAAAUUUGGCGGUUUUUUAUUCCAAUCAGGGGAAUCUGUCCUGUAAUCGAUAGUCCACGAUUAAUAAAACUUUUAUUUUGCUUGUAUAUCGUCGUUGUUAAUUAUUUUCGGAAAUAUAUAAUUUGAAUAUAUUAUUGUAUUAUAAAUCAGAUCAAGGUGCAGCUUAUAUAAGUAGAGAUGGAUUACAAUAAAUUUAUUUUAGGAUAGGUCUUAGCAUUAAGAUUUAAAAUUUGGAUUUGAAUGUAAUUUCAAUUGUUAAUUGAGGUGAAUUAGGCUCUAGAAAGUGU
rnacentral:rRNA from 1 species